rnacentral:rRNA from 1 species
GAGUUUGAUCAUGGCUCAGAGUGAACGCUGGCGGUAGGCCUAACACAUGCAAGUCGAACGGCAGCACAGUAAGAGCUUGCUCUUAUGGGUGGCGAGUGGCGGACGGGUGAGGAAUACAUCGGAAUCUACUUUUUCGUGGGGGAUAACGUAGGGAAACUUACGCUAAUACCGCAUACGACCUACGGGUGAAAGCAGGGGAUCUUCGGACCUUGCGCGAUUGAAUGAGCCGAUGUCGGAUUAGCUAGUUGGCGGGUAAAGGCCCACCAAGGCGACGAUCCGUAGCUGGUCUGAGAGGAUGAUCAGCCACACUGGAACUGAGACACGGUCCAGACUCCUACGGGAGGCAGCAGUGGGGAAUAUUGGACAAUGGGCGCAAGCCUGAUCCAGCCAUACCGCGU